AGAGUUUGAUCCUGGCUCAGGAUGAACGCUGGCGGCGUGCCUAAUACAUGCAAGUCGAGCGAACGGACGAGAAGCUUGCUUCUCUGAUGUUAGCGGCGGACGGGUGAGUAACACGUGGAUAACCUACCUAUAAGACUGGGAUAACUUCGGGAAACCGGAGCUAAUACCGGAUAAUAUUUUGAACCGCAUGGUUCAAAAGUAAAAGACGGUCUUGCUGUCACUUAUAGAUGGAUCCGCGCUGCAUUAGCUAGUUGGUAAGGUAACGGCUUACCAAGGCAACGAUGCAUAGCCGACCUGAGAGGGUGAUCGGCCACACUGGAACUGAGACACGGUCCAGACUCCUACGGGAGGCAGCAGUAGGGAAUCUUCCGCAAUGGGCGAAAGCCUGACGGAGCAACGCCGCGUGAGUGAUGAAGGUCUUCGGAUCGUAAAACUCUGUUAUUAGGGAAGAACAUAUGUGUAAGUAACUGUGCACAUCUUGACGGUACCUAAUCAGAAAGCCACGGCUAACUACGUGCCAGCAGCCGCGGUAAUACGUAGGUGGCAAGCGUUAUCCGGAAUUAUUGGGCGUAAAGCGCGCGUAGGCGGUUUUUUAAGUCUGAUGUGAAAGCCCACGGCUCAACCGUGGAGGGUCAUUGGAAACUGGAAAACUUGAGUGCAGAAGAGGAAAGUGGAAUUCCAUGUGUAGCGGUGAAAUGCGCAGAGAUAUGGAGGAACACCAGUGGCGAAGGCGACUUUCUGGUCUGUAACUGACGCUGAUGUGCGAAAGCGUGGGGAUCAAACAGGAUUAGAUACCCUGGUAGUCCACGCCGUAAACGAUGAGUGCUAAGUGUUAGGGGGUUUCCGCCCCUUAGUGCUGCAGCUAACGCAUUAAGCACUCCGCCUGGGGAGUACGACCGCAAGGUUGAAACUCAAAGGAAUUGACGGGGACCCGCACAAGCGGUGGAGCAUGUGGUUUAAUUCGAAGCAACGCGAAGAACCUUACCAAAUCUUGACAUCCUUUGACAACUCUAGAGAUAGAGCCUUCCUCUUCGGGGGACAAAGUGACAGGUGGUGCAUGGUUGUCGUCAGCUCGUGUCGUGAGAUGUUGGGUUAAGUCCCGCAACGAGCGCAACCCUUAAGCUUAGUUGCCAUCAUUAAGUUGGGCACUCUAAGUUGACUGCCGGUGACAAACCGGAGGAAGGUGGGGAUGACGUCAAAUCAUCAUGCCCCUUAUGAUUUGGGCUACACACGUGCUACAAUGGACAAUACAAAGGGCAGCGAAACCGCGAGGUCAAGCAAAUCCCAUAAAGUUGUUCUCAGUUCGGAUUGUAGUCUGCAACUCGACUACAUGAAGCUGGAAUCGCUAGUAAUCGUAGAUCAGCAUGCUACGGUGAAUACGUUCCCGGGUCUUGUACACACCGCCCGUCACACCACGAGAGUUUGUAACACCCGAAGCCGGUGGAGUAACCUUUUAGGAGCUAGCCGUCGAAGGUGGGACAAAUGAUUGGGGUGAAGUCGUAACAAGGUAGCCGUAUCGGAAGGUGCGGCUG
rnacentral:rRNA from 1 species